AAAUGUCUUACCCUUUCUAAUUCGGUAAGACAUUUUCAGGAAAAUUAGAAGGAACACAAAUCUUCCCUUCCCCUUCCUCUUUCUCUUCCCCUUCCCCCAUCCUUGAUCGGUUGUUCCAAGAGAGGCUACACCGUAAUCGAUUGUUCCCGCUCCCAAGAAAAACUCAAUUCCCUCCAAUCGGAGCUCCCGUCGCCUGAGCGUCACCUCCUCCUCAAUGUCGAUGCAAGGUCAGAUAACAGCGUUAAGGAGCUAGCUCGAGUGAUGAUGGAAAAGAAGUUUGUACCUGACAUAAUCGCUGAAGAUGCAUAUGUUUUUCUGGUUAACUAGUUUGAAAGGUUUCCACAAUACAAGCAUAGAGAUUUCUACAUUGCUGGUGAAAGUUAUGCAGGUCAUUUUUUUACUUUAGUAACUUUUUUUCUUUUUUACUGCAAUAUUUUACUUUGCAUAGGGAUUUUUGGUGAGAAUGUCUAUGAUUCUUUCUUUUUCUUGAAGCAUCUGUGUCCGACACUAGAUUCCUACGCAUUCCCGGACAUGAUUGCAACUUCAAUUGU